GGCCCGCUGGCCAAAUGGUAAGGCAUCUGAUUUCGGUUUCCAUCUCUUGCGAGAAGAAGUCUCUCAGAAGAUUGUGCGUUCGAGCCGCACGUGGGUCG